GAGCGAACGCUGGCGGCAGGCUUAACACAUGCAAGUCGAGCGGGCGUAGCAAUACGUCAGCGGCAGACGGGUGAGUAACGCGUGGGAACGUACCUUUUGGUUCGGAACAACACAGGGAAACUUGUGCUAAUACCGGAUAAGCCCUUACGGGGAAAGAUUUAUCGCCGAAAGAUCGGCCCGCGUCUGAUUAGCUAGUUGGUGAGGUAACGGCUCACCAAGGCGACGAUCAGUAGCUGGUCUGAGAGGAUGAUCAGCCACAUUGGGACUGAGACACGGCCCAAACUCCUACGGGAGGCAGCAGUGGGGAAUAUUGGACAAUGGGCGCAAGCCUGAUCCAGCCAUG
rnacentral:rRNA from 1 species